GGGAGGAGCGUAGCUGUAUCUCACGCAGAUUUGUGAAACUGAGUUUGUGGACGGUUGCGUGACUUUUCCAAGCCCACAAAGGUAGAGAAGGGCUGAGCCAAGACUUCUGAUCACCUCCUGUGUCACUCCCACGUGCUUGUAAGGGUGACUCUGCCGCCCCUUCGCUGGGUAGGUGCUGGGUGUUUAUUGGUAUUGUCCUGCCGUAAUGGUUAAUAGAUUGGCUCCUUUCAUAAGCAAAACAUAACCGUUGGAAUGUUAAACGGUUUGUUUUGUUAACUGGGUUGAGGAAAGCACCCAUUUCUUUUACCUUUCCGACCCCAGCAGGAUGCCCAUAAAUGACAGCGAUUGUUUGGAAAGAAGAGCUCGCAAGAGGGCAGAUGGCAGGAAAGGCUUAGCGGGAUGGAUGCGUGCGUUUGUUCCCGAGUUGUCGGCUGGGCAGGGAGGAGCUGGGGGCGAGGAGGAGGGCUGCGACCACGUGGAGAAGGUUCCACCCAACCGAGAUGGGCUCGCCUCUCGGAAAGACACAUGGAACCGGCCCCGUAUAAAGCAGGGGCAUCAACCAGAAUGCCAACUCGGUUAUUUUGUACCGAGAGAAACCGAGCCCUCCCUCGGCCGGGCGUGCUCCUGCGGGCGCAGUUCAGUUCAGUCGCUCAGUCAUGUCCGACUCUUUGCGACCCCAUGAAUCGCAGCACGCCAGGCCUCCCUGUCCAUCACCAACUCCCGGAGCUCACCCAAACUCUUGUCCAUCGAGUCAGUGAUGCCAUCCAGCCAUCUCAUCCUCUGUCGUCCCCUUCUCCUCCUGCCCCCAAUCCCUCCCAGCAUCACAGUCUUUUCCAAUGAGUCAACUCUUUGCAUGAGGUGGCCCAAGUACUGGAGUUUCAGCUUUAGCAUCAUUCCUUCCAAAGAACACCCAGGACUGAUCUCCUUCAGAAUGGACUGGUUGGAUCUCCUUGCAGUCCAAGGGACGCUCAAGAGUCUUCUCCAACACCACAGUUCACAAGCAUCAAUUCUUCGGCACUCAGCUUUCUUCACAGUCUAGAAAUAACCAAUGUUUCUCCAGUGAUGUGUGGCUUUGGGUCUUUUAACGUUAAAUACACUUCUCAUCAAGUUUAAGAAAAAUGGUUAAGUAUUUGAUCGUCUCUUCUCUCUAAAAGUCAUUGAGAAAGAAAAACCCUAGAGGUGUUUAAUCAAUCUGGAUGAUCUAAACACCUAAUUUUUCAAUGUCUUUCUGUAUGUGAUGUUGGCACUGGGGAGACCUCAGUAAGCCAAAGUGUCAUUGUCCCUGACCUCACAGCUUUCUUGUCUCCUGGAGUGAGAGCCAG
ensembl:lncRNA